CUUAGUAAACUGAGUUAAGCACUUUAUAAGAUUUCUGAAACUUUUGCUCAAUUAGUAUAUCAUGAUGACAAAUGUGCCUGUUUCUGAGAGUAUAGGAACUACUAAUGUAAUUUCGCAUCCCCAAUCAGG